UUGGGGCUGCAAGGUGAGGCAAAGG
rnacentral:miRNA from 1 species